ACAGCAGCCGCCCGGCAGACGGCGCCGGCAGCUAGCGGGAGCGCGAUUCAUCGUUACGGGCUCUGUCGGUUUUCUGCCACCGGGCGGAAGGCGAGGCGAGCAGCUCUGUUCGGCUGUGGAAGUCAGGAGUCUGUCUGUGGGGCGCGUUACCGAGUAUCGGAGCAGCGCACAGCAGAGCACAGAGACAUCAUAUAUUCACCUGUCCAACCAUUAUGAAAUGACACGAAAGUGAAGGACACCAGUGGUAAUGCUGUUAACAAAAUACAACUGUUACCUCACAAGGGAAAGGAAAGGCAACUUGGUUUAACAUCCACUGUAUCGAUGUCAAAAGCAAGGCAUCCUGCUGCUCAAAAUUUGUACUUUGACUAACUGAUGAUUAGACAACCAAAAGCCAGACUUGUAAAAAGUGCUUCAGCUAUCAAGCUCUGUAAGAUAACACCUCUAUUAGUCUUCUAGUCCAUAUCUGAAGCCUCAUCCAGCUGGUGAAGACUACAUAAAAAAAAACAAACACAACACUUCUAAGCUGUAUCGCUAAUAGGAAUGCAUGCUACUGUGCACCUCACACAGUGCUGGCAUCAACGUUCAAUCCUUAGCAAAGGCAGAUCACGUGAUGUUACAGGCAGAAGUGGACAACGACAGAAAACAAGCUGUAGAGUGGCAGUCAACAUGAAAAUGAUUAACCCUUCAUGGUGAGAACAUAUCAACAUAACUUGCAGUGCCACCCCAUCUGGAACACUGCCAAGCAAAGAGCACAGCAAUACUCUGAGUGAAUUAGGGACAUUAGGGGCAAAGCUCUCCUGCCAACAGUCCAUGCCCACAAAGGACACCUAGAGGAAGAGUGCAAAAGGCUAAACACAUGGGGAGUGAGACAAAAAAAGCCCGAGAAAGAGAGUGUGAAGGGAGGGACUCAAGAGGCACCGUGAGAGUGAUUCACCAGGAGGGUAUUAGGGUGUACACAACAGGCACCGGCAGUAUCUUCUCAGAGCAGCGACAGAACUCAAACACUGCCAAGGGCAUUCCAUUCAGUGACAUUUUAAGGAAACUUAACCAAGCUGUAAACAUUCAAGCUCUGUAUGGAAUCAGCUACCUCAAGCCCACAUUUCUUGCAGAUCCUACAAUCUUUUAAAGGUUCUCUGCCACACUGAGGCCCAAUUUAGACAGUAACAAUGAACACAGCAAGAAUGUGAAAACUACAGAAGUGAAGGACUUCACGAUCACUUUACAGAUGUUCUUCUUUGCUCUGCCCAAGCAUUAUGCUUAAUGAGAUUCAAGUAAUGGACCUGCAACACGGUUGCUCUCAUAGUAUGUGUCUGCUUGCAAAGACAAUUCCAGCUCUACUCCUGAAAGGUCAAUGUUUGAAGAUCAUAAUGAGAAGUCAAAGCCUCCAAGAGCACUUCACACAUGAACAAUUCCCAAACUACGCCCAACUGUUACGAUUGCCUUCCCUCUUCAUGACAGCCUGAACAUCAUCAAAAGACCAAUUGGCCAGCCCGUUUUCUCCACAAUGUGCACAAAGACUACACUAUGGAUGGCUCCAAAGAAAAUUUUAUUUUAGACGAUAUGCAGCUAAGUUACACACAUGGACAUUUUUGAGUAUUCAUAGUAGUAGGGCAUAUAAGGUAGAUAGUAGGGAAUGAAUUCCCCAGAAGGUCUUCCUGAAGCUUCCAACACAGGAAAAAUAGCACUUCAAAUGCAAAACCUAUUCAUCAGAAAGACUUCAAAUUGCAUGAACCACAGCUGUAUGCCUAGGGGAAUAACUACAACAAGCAGGGAGAUAGGCAUCUGUUCUUCUAAAGCUCCAGACACAGUACCCGUACACUCUCACCUCAAACCUUUCACAACUUCAGUGCUUUACUUUCAUCCUCAGAAUCUGCAAAGACAUCUCGCCAAAAGACGAGUUCAAUGAACCAUUUCCCUAUAUCACACACCACAGCCACACUAUCAAGGAAUACCAAGAAGGGAUAUGUGCCCAGCCGUUCCAAAAGCAUACUAAUGAUCUAAGAGGAGAGAAAGGAGCUUCCACCAGAGACUGGGUCAUCAGAAACUUUUGGAGGGGAAUCUCCCCCUCCUGUAAGCACAUGCGCUGCUCCACACAAACAUUCCUCUUCCACUAACAUCACGUAUACAUCCAUUCUGGGGAAACAAAAAUGGAAGAGAACACACAAGUACUCUCACAUCUCCAGCCUUCCACCCCAGCUCCAACUUGCACCACGGAAAAUAACAUUCUACCAUAUGUUGGCUGCUGCCAAGAACGGCUCAUAGAGUGACAUAUUAAGGAAGCUUAAGUAUAACAAAUUUCUUGCUGUGAAAGCAACCAAAGUCCCUGUUCUUUAUGAAAACAGCUCUCCCGAUACGAAAUGUAACAUACAUAACAGACUUUUAAGGGUUCUCUAUGAUACGAAGGCCCAAUAUAGACACUGUCAACAUACAGGGCAAAAUCAUGAAACCCACAGAACACAAAAAGGACUUCACUUUCACCCUUCAGAUCUCAUUAUUUUAUCUUAGCAAAAACUAUGCUACAUGAAAUUGAAAUGAUGAACACAAAACAGCUCUGUUGCCAUACAUUAUGCCUGCUAGUAAACAUUGCUCCAUUCUUGUGA